rnacentral:rRNA from 1 species
CCGGGGCCCUAAACAAGCCCCGGCGCGACUGGUCGGGGUGAUUAUUGGGCCUAAAGCGGCCGUAGCCGGCCCGGUAAGUCCCCCUGAAAGUCUCGGGCUCAACCCGAGAAGCGGGGGGAUACUGCCGGGCUAGGGGGCGGGAGAGGCCGAGGGUACUCCCGGGGUAGGGGCGAAAUCCUAUAAUCCCGGGAGGACCACCAGUGGCGAAGGCGCUCGGCUGGAACGCGCCCGACGGUGAGGGCCGAAAGCCGGGGGAGCGAACCGGAUUAGAUACCCGGGUAGUCCCGGCUGUAAACGAUGCGGGCUAGGUGUUGGGCGGGCGAGAGAGCCCGCCCAGUGCCGCAGGGAAGCCGUUAAGCCCGCCGCCUGGGGAGUACGGCCGCAAACCUGGUUAGGGCUUAGAGCCCUACCGGGGCGGAAGGCUGAAACUUAAAGGAAAGGGAGGCUGGAAGCUGGGUGCAAAGGCUUAAAUAGCUCUUUUAGGCUUCUAAGUUCCAUCUUUACCCUCUUUAUCUGUCUACCCAGCUUCCACUUCCCCCUGAAUUGGCGGGGGAGCACACAAGGGGUGGAGCCUGCGGCUUAAUUGGAGUCAACGCCGGGAAUCUUACCGGGGGCGACAGCAGGAUGACGGCCAGGCUAAAGGCCUUGCCCGACGCGCUGAGGGGAGGUGCAUGGCCGUCGCCAGACACAGUCAUGGCUCCCGUAGUGUUUUCAAAGCUCGCGUCAUAAAGGUUACUUUUAAUAGAAUCCAUUCGAUGGAAUUGGAAGAUGGAAUUGGAAGAUGGAAUUGAAGGUGAUAAGAUUAUGGGAGCCACGAUGUGGGCGAGCUCGUGCCGUGAGGUGUCCUGUUAAGUCAGGCAACGAGCGAGACCCCUGCCCCUAGUUGCUACCCC